rnacentral:snRNA from 1 species
GCUUAUCGCCUAGUGCACAUAUUGAAAGCGGAACGAUACAGAGAAGAUUAGCAUGGCCCCAGCGCAAGGACGACAUCUAAUAUCAUGAAGCGUUCCAGUUUUUU